AUUGAACGCUGGCGGCAGGCCUAACACAUGCAAGUCGAGCGGAUGAAGGGAGCUUGCUCCUGGAUUCAGCGGCAGACGGGUGAGUAAUGCCUAGGAAUCUGCCUGGUAGUGGGGGAUAACGUCCGGAAACGGGCGCUAAUACCGCAUACGUCCUGAGGGAGAAAGUGGGGGAUCUUCGGACCUCACGCUAUCAGAUGAGCCUAGGUCGGAUUAGCUAGUUGGUGGGGUAAAGGCCUACCAAGGCGACGAUCCGUAACUGGUCUGAGAGGAUGAUCAGUCACACUGGAACUGAGACACGGUCCAGACUCCUACGGGAGGCAGCAGUGGUGAAUAUUGGACAAUGGGCGAAAGCCUGAUCCAGCCAUGCCGCGUGUGUGAAGAAGGUCUUCGGAUUGUAAAGCACUUUAAGUUGGGAGGAAGGGCAGUAAGUUAAUACCUUGCUGUUUUGACGUUACCAACAGAAUAAGCACCGGCUAACUUCGUG
rnacentral:rRNA from 1 species